rnacentral:rRNA from 1 species
GCAUAUCAAUAAGCGGAGGAAAAGAAACUAACAAGGAUUCCCCUAGUAACUGCGAGUGAAGCGGGAAAAGCUCAAAUUUAAAAGCCUUCGGGCGUUGUAAUCUAGAGAAGUGUUUUCGGUCGUUGCCUCGGAUAAGUCUCUUGGAACAGAGUGUCAAAGAGGGUGAGAAUCCCGUUCUUGCCGAGCUACCAACGUCUAUGCGAUACACUUUCAAAGAGUCGAGUUGUUUGGGAAUGCAGCUCAAAACGGGUGGUAAACUCCAUCUAAAGCUAAAUAUUGGCGAGAGACCGAUAGCGAACAAGUACCGUGAGGGAAAGAUGAAAAGCACUUUGGAAAGAGAGUUAAACAGUACGUGAAAUUGUUAAAAGGGAAACGCUUGGAGUCAGUCGCGUUGCAUGGACUCAGCCUCACGGUGUAUUUCUAUGCAACGGGUCAACAUCAGUUUUGGGCGGGGGAAAAGGGCUUGGGGAAUGUAGCAACCUCGGUUGUGUUAUAGCCCCUUGUCGUACACCUCGCCCGGGACUGAGGUCUGCUUAAAGGAUGUUGACGAAAUGGCUCUAAGCGACCCGUCUUGAAACACGGACCAAGGAGUCUAACAUGUCUGCGAGUGUUUGGGUGUCAAACCCAUGCGCGCAAUGAAAGUAAUACAGGUGGGAGGCCUCGGCCGCACCAUCGACCGAUCCGGAUCUCUUGGGAUGGAUUUGAGUAAGAGCAUAUAUGUUGGGACCCGAAAGAUGGUGAACUAUGCCUGAAUAGGGCGAAGCCAGAGGAAACUCUGGUGGAGGCUCGUAGCGAUUCUGACGUGCAAAUCGAUCGUCGAAUUUGGGGUAUAGGGGGCGAAAGACUAAUCGAACCAUCUAGUAGCUGGUUCCUGCCGA